CACGAACGCUGGCGGCAGGCUUAACACAUGCAAGUCGAACGGUUGCAGCAAUGCAGCAGUGGCAGACGGGUGAGUAACACGUGGGAACCUUCCUAGGGGUACGGAACAACUCAGGGAAACUUGAGCUAAUACCGUAUACGUCCGUGAGGAGAAAGAUUUAUCGCCCUUAGACGGGCCCGCGUCGGAUUAGCUAGUUGGUGGGGUAACGGCCUACCAAGGCGACGAUCCGUAGCUGAUCUUAGAGGAUGAGCAGCCACACUGGGACUGAGACACGGCCCAGACUCCUACGGGAGGCAGCAGUGGGGAAUCUUGGACAAUGGGCGCAAGCCUGAUCCAGCCAUGCCGCGUGAGUGAAGAAGGUCUUCGGAUUGUAAAGCUCUUUUGCCAGGGACGAUAAUGACGGUACCUGGAGAAUAAGCCCCGGCAAACUUCGUGCCAGCAGCCGCCGCGGUAA
rnacentral:rRNA from 1 species